GAAAGAAAGGAAAUGGGGAGAUGUAAGGGAGAUGCAAGAAAUCACCAUCCACGUGCCUUUGCCGAUCCGAUGGUGAAACGACCUUCGAUGAUAGUCUUCAAUGUGGUGAACACUUCUAUGGAGUUGGAUUUUCAAUCACACGGUUCCAUUUUACUGUACAGGUAAGGGUGUGUUUUUCCUAAAUUUCUCUCUCGACUUUUUUGAGGUUUUUUCGUUUUGCUUUUAUUUACUUUCAAAAACCUCCAUUGAAAUGGGUGAGUUGUUGGGUUAUAUUAGAUCAUCUUAUAGUUUUCAUUUAUGUUGUUUUUGGAAACCUUAAACCUAUAAAAUGAUUUGGUUUUGCUAUAAAAAUGUUAAAUGGGAAGUGGAUGAAAGUUUAAUGUAGGAUAAAAAUAUUAGAAUUGUUGGUAUUUAAUAGUUGUUCUUGUGAUAUAAUUUACCAAAUUAUUGUGGGUAUGGAAAAAAAAUUAUUGGAAUAUUGGUUGAUAUAUUUUUUGUGAUUGUUUUCAUGUUAGAAAUUAUAGAAAUUUAUUGGUGAUAUAUUAAUGUUGAAAAUAAUGGAAAUUAUUUGUUGAAAAUUUUGAGUACUGAGAUAUGUUUAAAAUGAUUGUUUUAUAUUAUUGAGAUUAGUGGAAAUAAAUAAAAUUAGGGCAUAAAUUAUAUUUUGGGAUAUUUAGAUUAGUGAGAAUUUUUCUUUGAUAUUUGGGAUGAUAUAGUGCAAAAAAAAAAAAAAAAUGUUAUGUUGGUUGUUGAAAAUUAUUAUUAAAUAUGUUGGGAAUAAAUAAGAUUUAUGUGGCUAAGGUUUAAAUUAUGUUUUGAUGAUAUACAAAUUAAUUGUAAAUUUUAUAUGAUGUUUGUGAUGAUUAAAGUAAAGAAAUUCGUUGUGUGGAUUGUUGGAAAUUAUGAAAUAUAAUGAGAGUAAAUAGAAUUAUAUCUUGAAAAAUUAUGAAUGUUAAAAUGUGAUUUGAUAUUAGUUCAUAUGCAUCAUGGUUGUGUGAAGAAAAAGAAAAAUUGAAGAAAUAGUUGUGUGAAACGGAAAUGAGAAUGAAAAAACCCUGAAAAGGGCAAAAAUGAAAAGAAAAGAGAAAUGAGAAAUGGAAGGACUCCAAAGAGGGCAAAUUAAGAAAUGAAUGAGAUCCCUAGGGUGAAAAACCCAAAAGUUUACCUUGGGAAGACUCUGAAUGGGGAGGGUAUUUAGGUAAGGACGUGUAUCCUUCAAUGAAAACCCAAGAACAACAGUGCAUUGUUUGAUUGCGUGUAAGCAUUUGCAUCAUGUUUGUAUUUGGAAGAAGGAUUUGUAUUAUUUAUCAAUGGUAUAUUUGAAUAUAUUAUUCAAGACUAAAAUGACUUGUUUAUUUUGUAAAUUUAAAAUUGUUGACGUGCUAGACAUAUGAUGAAAUAAGAGAAGUGAUAAUUUUGAUUGGUUUAAAUGUGUAUAGUUGUGGUUCAUUUAAAGUAUACAAGGUAGAUGUAAAAUUACAUUUUGGUAUAUGAUUGUGUCUUAUUGACCUAGAAUUUCUAAACCAUUUGGGUGGAAAACACCCAACUAAGCAAUGUGGAAAUGUCUACCCUUUUAUUUUUAAAAAUUUUUAGAUGCAGAUAUAGAUUCUAAAGGGCCACAAGAAGAUCUAAAAGUGUUUUAAAAAGCAAAAGAACCGUAAAAAUGGUUCUUUUUAAUUUAUAGUACCUUUUUGACAUAUACUAAUUUGAGUUAUAUGGACUUUUGUAAGUUAAACUAUAUUUUGUUAACUUGUAAAACAUUUUGGGAAAUAUUAUUUUGACUUAGAAUUAUUGUAAAUAUUUGAGCUUUUGGGUGGGAAAAUGAUUGAUGGAUUUAUUAUACUUGUGAACGGGUGAUGGUUGGUUUUGGAGAUAAAUAAAAUGAAGUAAAGUAAUAUGAUAUAGUAAGUCUUAGCUUAGUAAAUUUAUUUGGGAUUAGAUGUUGUUUCGUUGAAAAAAAAAUCAAGUUAUUAGGAUUGAUUGCCAGCUUGGAUAGGGGUAAGCCUUAGGGUCAAACCUUUGACCUGUGGUCACAAGUCAAAUUCUGGGUUGCCUAGAAUUCAGGGUGUGACAGUAUUAUACUUAUCAUGACUGAGACAAGCUAGGAUCUUCAUGUCAAUUCUGAAGUUAGUUGACCUAGUUACAUGUUAAAAGCAUAGCAAAAGCAGUAUACCUUGGGCGGUGUGAGAAAAACAUCAACAUGUAGUGUACAACAUGCAUGAUCGAGUUGAGUUUGUGCCAAAAAAGUUUCCUUCGAUGGUUAGUGUUGUAAUAUUUGUUGUUCUCACAAUCUUUCUAGAAGCUUGGCAUCAUCCAUGGCCCAAGAUGUUGAAGAUGUGAAUGAGACAAGGGUGGGACCCAAGGACAUUAAGUUGGUCAUGACGUAGACUAGAAUCUCUUCUAAUAAUCUGGCAAUUGAGAUACAACGAUAAUGAGAAGCAGCAUUAGGCCAUGCCAUGCAUAACACGUAUAAUCAAUGAAGUUCUUGAGGCUUUGCGUGAUGAGGGUGUCAUGUCAAAAUUUGAUAAUCAUGAGAAUAUAUUAGUUUGUUCUCAAUACGACAACAAAUAUCAUGCCAUUGUAGAAAAUAUGGGAAAAGGUGUAGCAUCGCCUAGGAUCAAGUUUUCUAAACUACGGACCAAUGGGUUUUAUCUGUAAGUGACCUCAUUUUGUUGUAUAUUAUUGGUUCAAAGAGUCAUUGUUGACCUGGUGUGAGAAGCACAUGCAGUGUAGUUGUUCCAAAUAGCUAAAGACGAGUCCCAUUCCUUAACUAUUCCAUGCUUUCUGUGCCCCAACUACUCAACGACAAGCAACAAAUAUCACCCAACCCUAUCUGAGUGAAGUUUCAAAUUUCUAUACUCUAGAGUGUUGAGAAUGAUUCAUUGCUUUCCUCAUCUAAAUAAUGAAAAAAAAAAAAAAAAACCAAAGGACCCAGAGAAGGCUUAGAGUUAUCAAACGGAAAAUAGUUAGAUGUCGAAAAGCAUAUACCAAAGCGCAGGAAAAGAUGGAGUGGGUAUAAGAACUGCAAUAAAAUUCUGGUUUGCUUCCAUGGGAAUACUUCCUUUGGAUUAUGUCGGGAUGAAUGAAAAACUGUUCGAAAGGGGUUUCAAGUUUUAUUGGGUCAGUUCAUGGAGAACAAUGAGUAGACGUGAAGUUCAUUUGGUGAAUGGUUCUACUACUCUCAAUUAAAGUAGACUUUCAAGGAUGGUGCCCAUGGCCAUUUUGGGGAGCCAAAAGUGAAAUCGAGGAAAAUUAGUAAAUGGGGAAAGACCUAGUACUGUAAUGACCAGGUAUUUUAGGCCAUGUUAGAAUUUCAAGUUUGAAAAGUCUUCUAUUAGAUGGUGGUUGAAAAAUAAAAACAAUAAAAAAUGAUUGGAAAACACGUGUCAAUUUUGGAUUGACAGAAUUCAAAAUAUUUUUUUGAUCAAUUAAACGAGUUGAAUUUUUUUGUGUCAUGUCAACUUUAUGGUAGAAAAUUCAUUCGGAUCGUAGAAAUUGAAAAUUUCUGGAAACGAAAAGCAAAAGUGAAAAAUGAAAAAAAAAUGAAUUAAUUAAAAUUAAUUAGAACUAAUUAGGUAAAAAUUAAAUUAAAUUACUUAAUAAUAAAUUUGAGAAAAUUAAAAUUUUUGGGAUGUUGUUUGAUAAUUUAUUUUGUGUAUUGUUUAAAAAAAAUUGAAAUGGAAUGAAAAAUGAAUUAAAAAAAGAAAAUAAAAUGAAUUAAGAAAAUAAAAACUAAAUGAUUAUAAUAAUACAUAUGGGUAUGAGUGAGUGCACUAUGUGGUGGCCUUUUAAAGGAAUAAAAGAAAUAAAAAGAGAAGAAGGAGAAAAGUGGCAGAAGGGUGGGAGAGUCAGCGACUGUGAGAGAGGAGAAAACGCCGACCACCUUUGGUCGAUCGAUUCAAUGGCCAAACGAGCUCUUUUUCAUGUGAAAAAUUGAAGGAAAGUUCUACUCGAUGCAAGGAACAUUCCUACAAUGGUUGAUUACAUUUUCAACGGUUGGAUUGUUAGAUCUGUGGUAGGGAGACUUAACCCUAAAACUUUUAUUCAAUGCAUUUUUCUUUAAAAAAAAAAUUAUAAAUCUCAUUGUUGGAAGGUAAAUAGGUAGUAUUUAUGAUGUGAGAAAGUUUAUUGGGUGAUUUAGAAAUUUUCCUUGGGAUUUUUGUGUGAUAAUGAAAGUGUUUAAUUAUGGAAAUUAAUUGUGUUAGAUUGUUUGAAUUAUUAGGAUUGUUGAGAAAUAAUGGAAUAUUGCUGAAAAUUAUGCUUAAGUGAUAUUUGAAUUAUUGGAAAUUUAUUUAGUUGUUUUUGAUAAUUUUAUUGUGGAGAAAAUAAUUAUAUUUAAUUAUUGGAAUUAUUGGGGUUGUUGGAAAAUUAUGGAAUUUUGGUAUAAAUGUAAUUUCAAUGAUGUUUGGACUAGUUAGACUUUUAUUUGAUAUUUAUGAAUAAGGAUAAUUGACCUCAUUGCAUUUAAUUUGCAUCAUGGUUGUGUGAAAGAAAAAUAAAAACUGUGAAAAGUGCAUGAAAUGAAAAAAAGAAAAAGAAAAAAAAAAUAGUAAUGAAAACUAAAGGUUCGUGUGAGGCGAAUUAAGAAGGGAAUGAGACCCUUAGGGUGAAAGACCCAAAAUUCUACCCUGGGAAGACUUCGAAUGAGAAGUGUAUUUGGGUACCGACGCGUAUCCUUCGGUGAAAUCCCGAGAACGACAGUGCAUUGUAUGAUUGUGUGUCACAGAUCCACAUGCAUUUUAUUUAAUUGUUGAAAAUUAUUGAAUUGUUAUAAUUAUAGAAAUUAAAAUAUGUGGGUUGAUCAAUUAUGAUGGAAUGGUUAUUUUGUGUUCACUUGAAACUUAGUAAUCCCAAUUAACCUCAUAGGUGUAAGGUACGCUUCUGAGCAAUGUGGAAUGCUCACUUCUUCCUUCUUAUAUCUUUUUAGAUGCAGAUGUGACUCCUGAUGAACCACAGAUGGGGCAAGGAGGGCUUCAGGAUGCCCUAAGAGAUUUUGGAGCAGCCUAGUGGAUUGUAGUAUAUUUGUUAUGUUGGUUUAUUUUGGAACUUGUAUUAGCAAACCUUGAAACUAUAUAUUUGUAAUGAGACUUUAUUUUGAUUAAUUUUGUCAACUGUGAACUCUUAUUUCU
rnacentral:lncRNA from 1 species